rnacentral:rRNA from 1 species
UUAACCCUACGGGGGGCAGCAGUAGGGAAUCUUCCACAAUGGACGAAAGUCUGAUGGAGCAACGCCGCGUGAGUGAAGAAGGGUUUCGGCUCGUAAAGCUCUGUUGGUAGUGAAGAAAGAUAGAGGUAGUAACUUGCCUUUAUUUGACGGUAAUUACUUAGAAAGUCACGGCUAACUACGUGCCAGCAGCCGCGGUAAUACGUAGGUGGCAAGCGUUUUCCGGAUUUAUUGGG